GUCGAACGCUGGCGGCGUGCCUAAUACAUGCAAGUCGAACGCGCGGCCGCCAGGGGGGUAAUGUCUGGGGAACUGCCUGGUGGCGGUUGAUAACUACUGGUAAUGGUAGCUAAUACCGCAUACCAUCAGGAGUGCCCCACGGGGAUUAACUAGGAGGGAGGGUAACGGCUCACAUAGGCGACGAUCCCUAGCUGGUCUGAGAGGAUGACCAGCCACACUGGAAGUGAGACACGGGCAAGACUCCUACGGGAGGCAGCAGUGGGGAAUAUGGCAAGAUGGGCGCCAGCCUGAUGCAGCCAUGGCGCGUGGGUGAAGAAGGCCUUCGGGUUGGAAAGCACUUUCAGCGGGGAGGCGUUACCCGCAGAAGAAGCACCGGCUAACUCCGUGCCAGCAGCCGCGGUAAUUC
rnacentral:rRNA from 1 species